AGUGAACGCUGGCGGCAGGCCUAACACAUGCAAGUCGAGCGGAGCGGCGGACGGGUGAGUAAUGCCUAGGAAUCUGCCUGGUAGUGGGGGAUACCGUCCGGAAACGGGCGCAAAUACCGCAUACUAUCAGAUGAGCCUAGGUCGGAUUAGCUAGUUGGUGGGGUAAAGGUCUACCAAGGCGACGAUCCGUAACUGGUCUGAGAGGAUGAUCAGUCACGCUGGAACUGAGACACGGUCCCAGCUCCUACGGGAGGCACCCGUGGGGAAUAUUGGACAAUGGGCGAAAGCCUGAUCAAGCCAUGCCGCGUGUGUUAAGAGGGUCUUCAGUUUGUAAAGCACUUUAAGUUGGGAGGCGUUACCAACAGAAUAAGCACCGGCUAACUUCGUGCCAGCAGCCGCGGUAAUUC
rnacentral:rRNA from 1 species